GCCCGGCUAGCUCAAUCGGUAGAGCGUCAGACUCUUAUAUGCCGAGUGAAGUUGUAGGCAUAUCUGAAGGUUACGGGUUCGACCCCCGUGUCAGGCU